UGUGACCACAGAAAAAGUAGCCAGCCCACCAUCCCUAGAUGAUUUUGCAGUCUUUGCACACCAGUGUGGCCAUAGGCUUGUUUUCUCCUGGACUGAGCCUGCAGAUCCUAUGAGCAAGCAUAUGUCCUGUGCUCCACUAGUCCUAGCUGGAUCGUGGACAUAUUACCAUCAUUACAAAUAUCAAUAGUUUGUGAUUACUUCAAACAAUCUGAAGUUGAAGGACCCCAGAUAUCCUUCAAAACAGGAAUCUGCAGGCAGAUGCUGAAACCAUGAAUACAGAGGGACAACUAUACGCUGACAUAGUUUUAUGAAUGCAAACAGCCAAGGAGAGCAGAUGUUGAGUGGUUGCCAGAGUGAAAUGAGGAAGCCCUGCUGCCAGCUUCCCACCAAAAAGCAGGCUCCGGCCCUGAACGCAGGAGAGUUGCUAAAGAAGUUGCUCACAGAGGCGGGAGAGAGCAGGCUACUGGUUUCCUUCAAAAUGGAAUAGGAAACAGAAAACGUGCAUCAUUUCUUCGCACUUGAAUCAGCAACAUGACACAGGACUUUGGCAUCAGACUACUAUCACACCAAAAAAAGAGGCUUCACUUGGAGUGCUGCCACUGGAUGGGGCCUGACUUGUUUAUCCGGAAAGAAGUGACUUCCCUGGGAAGAAGGUUGCAUUUGUGAAAGCUUGUGCAGCAUUUCAAGGCUGCAUUCAGGGGCUCUGACCUCCAGUGUCAGCCUUCCAAGGAGAGAAUGGUAGUGUAAUCAUGACUGGAGAGCAACUGUUCCAGAUAAGAAUAUUUUGGCAGAUUUUAAAAGCAACUAUUACUGGUGUUGAUUGACUUAAAAAUAUUUUAAAAAUAUAACAUGUUAUAAACCUCUUCAAUAUCAAGAGGCAGGAUAUAA
rnacentral:lncRNA from 1 species